UGCAGUGACGUCUCUUCCCC
rnacentral:miRNA from 1 species